UACGGAGGGUGCAAGCGUUAUCCGGAUUUACUGGGUUUAAAGGGCGCGUAGGCGGCCACCGCAAGUCGACUGUGAAAUCUCCGGGCUUAACCCGGAAAGGUCAGCCGAUACUGCGGGGCUAGAGUGCAGAAGGGGCAACUGGAAUUCUCGGUGUAGCGGUGAAAUGCGUAGAUAUCGAGAGGAACACCUGCGGCGAAGGCGGGUUGCUGGGCUGACACUGACGCUGAUGCGCGAAAGCUAGGGGAGCGAACGGG
rnacentral:rRNA from 1 species